rnacentral:rRNA from 1 species
UACGUAGGGUGGCAAGCGUUAAUCGGAAUUACUGGGCGUAAAGCGUGCGCAGGCGGUUUUGUAAGUCUGUCGUGAAAGCCCCGGGCUCCAACCUGGGAAUUGCGAUGGAGACUGCAAGGCUUGAAUCUGGCAGAGGGGGGUAGAAUUCCACGUGUAGCAGUGAAAUGCGUAGAUAUGUGGAGGAACACCGAUGGCGAAGGCAGCCCCCUGGGCUAAGAUUGACGCUCAUGCACGAAAGCGUGGGGAGCAAACAGG